rnacentral:rRNA from 1 species
UACGUAGGGGGCAAGCGUUGUCCGGAUUUAUUGGGCGUGAAGAGCGUGUAGGCGGUUUGGUAGGUCCGUUGUGAAAACUCGAGGCUCAACCUCGAGACGCCGAUGGAAACCAUCAGACUAGAGUCCGGAAGAGGAGAGUGGAAUUCCUGGUGUAGCGGUGAAAUGCGCAGAUAUCAGGAAGAACACCCGUGGCUAAGGCGGCUCUCUAGUACGGUACUGACGCUGAGACGCGAAAGCGUGGGGAGCGAACAGG